rnacentral:rRNA from 1 species
AGAGUACGUGAAACCGCUUAGAGGUAAACGGGUGGACCCGCAAAGUCGGCCCGGGGAAUUCAACUCGGCUUGUUUGGGGCGACGGGCAGUCGGUUCCAGGGAUCCGUAAAGACCCAGCCGGCGCUUAGGUUGCCGUGGCCGAGUGCACUUUCCUCGGGUAGAGCGCCACGACCGGCUUCGGGGCGGUGACAAGCCGGCCGGAAAGGUGACUUCUCCCUUCGCGGGGAGAAGAGUUAUAGUCCGGCCAGGUCGACUCGUCUCGAGGCCGAGGAUCUGCCGCACCUCGACGGCCCUCGGCUCUAUCAGUGCGUUCGACUGGGGAAGCACUGCUCGUCAGU